rnacentral:lncRNA from 1 species
GAAAACAUACCAAUUUUUCCUUUUCUGCGCCUGAAGUUUUGGCAAAUGCGAUGUCUAGAUUUAUCUGUAUUAUAUUUGUUCGAUAUGUAGUAUAGACUAAUAUAUUCGCACAUUUUUGUUAUAAUUUCGUCUUUUUCAACGCUUUACUUUAGAAUUUUUCUUUACUCACAGGAUACACCUUUACUCGCCGCGUAAAAGAUAGAUUCAAGCAAUUGAAGAGUUGACACCAGAAAAUAGUAAUUGUAAUAUGAAUCUUAAAAACUAUAUCAUACUAUAUGCGCUUGACAAAUAGUACAAAAUAAUCCAUUUAUCAAAUAGCAUAUUAGUAAACAUAAUUGUCUUACUAACUGCACUAGUCAACCCAAACAAAAUGAAAACACCCAACCCAUGGAACACAAUAAAGGCCAAAAUAUAUUACAAUUUUCCAUUAUCAACUGCCCUAGUCAACCUAAAAAAAAGAGGAAAGAUGAUGAAGAGAAGAGGAAAAAAAAGAAGGACAGAGAGAAUGAGGAGAAUAAGAAGGAAUGAAGAGAAGAAGAAGAUGGAGAAAGAUGAAAUAGAAAAAUAUAUUGUAUCACUAAAAUAGAAUAGUAUGUAGUAUUUACAAUAUAUUAUAACCAAUUACAUAUUGGUUGUUCGAGGAGAGAACAAAAUGAAAAUAUAGAAAAUAUGAGAGAAGAUGUAGAGUUUUGACUGAGUUAAAACUCUAGACAAAUCAAUUUAUAUAAAAUUAUCUAAUCUAUAUAUUUAAAUAUAGGAUAUCAUUUGAAGUAGAAAUUAGACUAUAUUAUAUGAAUUUACGAUAUAGUAUAGAAUUUAUAAUUCGAUUUUCUUACUCUAACAUGAUAUAUCAAAUGUUAUAAUAUAUAUAUGCUUUAAAAUUUUCAAAACACAUCAUAAAUAGGAAAAAAAAUCUAUAUUUUUGUGAGUAUUUUAUAAAUCUGAAUAAUUUUUUUUAAAGAAGCUAGAAGAUAAAUAAGAUUAUAGGGGAAAACAUUAUACAAGAAAAUAAAAAAAACAAAAAAAACAAAACCACUACAUAUGCUUAUACAGAGGGGUAUAAUUGCAAUUAAUACAAAUAUAUAUUGUGUAUCCUUGCCAUUUAAUUGCUAUGGUCAUUUGUCUAAUUAAUUUUUUUUCAUGGUUAUAUUUGCCAAUUUCUCAUAAUAGUAUUGUUUUUUUUUAACGCUGAUUUAUUACGAUCUUACAAUUAUGAUAUAGGAAAUAUUACAUAGACGAUUCGACAACCGACAAUACUACCUGCCUUAUGAAGACCUACGCCUAACUGCAUCACCUGAGCCGUCCUAUGAAGAUCCACGCCUGGCCAGAUUUACUUGCACCAUGUUGAAGAUCCCUUGCAAGCUUUUCCUCUGUAGUCUGCAUAAUUGUUUAAUAAACCGCUCUCUCCGGGACUUGAAACCUAGAUUUCCUGUAAUCUGAAAUAAAUUGCAUAGUCUGGGAUUCGAACCCCAGACCUGGGUGUAGAAACAUUUAAACCUUAA